rnacentral:rRNA from 1 species
AAUCAACACUGGCGGCGUGCCUCAGACAUGCAAGUCGAACGAUUAAAGCUCCCUUCGGGAGUGCAUAAAGUGGCGCACGGGUGAGUAACACGUAAGUAAUCUACCUUCGAGUGGGGAAGUAACGUUCGGAACGAACGCUAUACCGCAUAAUGCAGCGGCAUCUAUGAUGACAGUUGUUAAAGAUUUAUCGCUUGAAGAGGAGCUUGCGGCAGAUUAGCAGUUGGUAAGGUAAUGGCUUACCAAGGCUACGAUCUGUAUCCGGUCUAAGAGGACGGUCGGACACACUGACACUGAAUAACGGGUCAGACUCCUACGGGAGGCAGCAGUCGGGAAUUUU